AUUGAACGCUGGCGGCAGGCCUAACACAUGCAAGUCGAGCGGAUGACGGGAGCUUGCUCCUUGAUUCAGCGGCGGACGGGUGAGUAAUGCCUAGGAAUCUGCCUGGUAGUGGGGGACAACGUUUCGAAAGGAACGCUAAUACCGCAUACGUCCUACGGGAGAAAGCAGGGGACCUUCGGGCCUUGCGCUAUCAGAUGAGCCUAGGUCGGAUUAGCUAGUUGGUGGGGUAAUGGCUCGCCAAGGCGACGAUCCGUAACUGGUCUGAGAGGAUGAUCAGUCACACUGGAACUGAGACACGGUCCAGACUCCUACGGGAGGCAGCAGUGGGGAAUAUUGGACAAUGGGCGAAAGCCUGAUUCAGCCAUGCCGCGUGUGUGAAGAAGGUCUUCGGAUUGUAAAGCACUUUAAGUUGGGAGGAAGGGCAGUAAGCUAAUACCUUGCUGUUUUGACGUUACCGACAGAAUAAGCACCGGCUAACUCUGUGCCAGCCGCCGCUGUAA
rnacentral:rRNA from 1 species